UUUUUUUUUUUCUGUUUAUACUGCUGUAGACUUGGUGUAGUUAGUUCAUCCUUGGUUGAGAUAUAUUGACAUACUUGGAUUAAUCUUGCUUGUGUUGCUGCUGCCGUAUUGCGGAUGGCUUUUUAAAUGGUCACUGGUUCUCAAUCUUCAUAUUUUCUAGUCUUUGUUGGUCUCUAUUAGCAACUUUCUUCCUAUUGUAUUUGACAUCAUUGAGUUGCUGACUGAAAUUUUUUCUUCUUUGCAGUUGCCAGACUUAUGAAGUUGGUAUAUCUGGGGAACCUGGUUCUGAAGCUCAUGGUGGGUACACCUUUUGUGGGCUGGCAACAAUGAUUCUGAUCAAUGAGGUCAAUCGUUUGGACUUGCCUAGACUAUUGAUUGGUUGGUCUUUCGACAGGG